CAAUAAGCGGAGGAAAAGAAACUAACAAGGAUUCCCCUAGUAACGGCGAGUGAACCGGGAAGAGCUCAAAUUUGAAAUCUGGCGUCCUCAGGGCGUCCGAGUUGUAAUCUAUAGAGGCGUUUUCCGUGCCGGACCGUGUCCAAGUUCCUUGGAACAGGAUAUCAAAGAGGGUGACAAUCCCGUACUUGACACGACGACCGGUGCUCUGUGAUACGUCUUCUACGAGUCGAGUUGUUUGGGAAUGCAGCUCAAAAUGGGUGGUGAGUUCCAUCUAAAGCUAAAUAUUGGCGAGAGACCGAUAGCGAACAAGUACCGUGAGGGAAAGAUGAAAAGCACUUUGGAAAGAGAGUUAAACAGUACGUGAAAUUGUUGAAAGGGAAACGAUUGAAGUCAGUCGUGACCGAGAGGCUCAGCCGGUUCUGCCGGUGUAUUCCCCUCGGUCGGGUCAACAUCAGUUUUGUCCGGUGGAUAAGGACGGUAGGAAGGUGGCACCCUCGGGUGUGUUAUAGCCGCCGUCGCAUACAUCGGGUGAGACUGAGGAACGCAGCUCGCCUUUAUGGCCGGGGUUCGCCCACGUCCGAGCUAGG
rnacentral:rRNA from 1 species